UUUGACCGGAUCGAAACAACUCAGACUGAGGUUGAGUCCGAAUUAGUGCACUUGUGGAGUGUUGUCCGGUAAGUUGCCGAGGCUUAUUGUGAACGAAAGAGGAAUCGAGGUCGAUCCUGCUAAAAAAAAAAGAAAAAGAAAGAAAGAAAAAGAAAAGGAAAAAGCAAUGCAAGAAAUGCCUGAACCGAAAACAAAAAAAAGAGCAAACGGUCAGGUGGAUAAUGAUUGCCAAGGGGCGUUGAAAGAUAAAAAAAAAAUAUAAGUUGCAG
rnacentral:lncRNA from 1 species